rnacentral:rRNA from 1 species
CCUAGUGGUGAUAGCGGAGGGGAAACACCCGUUCCCAUCCCGAACACGGAAGUUAAGCCCUCCAGCGCCGAUGGUAGUUGGGGCCAGCGCUCCUGCAAGAGUAGGUCGCUGCUAGGC